AAUGAACGCUGGCGGCGUGCCUAAUACAUGCAAGUCGAGCGACAGGACGAGAAGCUCGCUUCUCUGCGGUUAGCGGCGGACGGGCGAGUAACACAUGGAUAACAUACUACUAUGACGGGGGUAAUUUCGGGAAGCAAGUGCCGAUACUAGCUGAUACUUUCUACGGCUUGGAUCAAAAGAGCAUGGCGCCCUGCGCGACUCUUAGAGACGGAUUCGGGCUGCAUUGGCUAGUUGGUAAGGUAACGGCUUACCAAGGCAACGAUGCAUAGCCGACCUGAGAGGGUGAUCGGCCACACUGGAACUGAGACACGGUCCAGACUCCUACGGGAGGCAGCAGUGGGGAAUCUUGCGCAAUGGGCGAAAGCCUGACGCAGCAAUGCCGCGUGGGUGAUGAAGGUCUUCGGGUCGUAAAGCUCUUUUGUUAGGGAAGAACAUCUGUAGAAGUAAAUGUGCAUGUCUUGACGGUACCUAAACAGAAAGCCACGGCUAACUACGUG
rnacentral:rRNA from 1 species